UGGGAACACACGUGGAAGUGCCUGACAUAUCUCAGAUCUCUUGAGAGCCUCAAGCCAGGGAAAGUGUAUCUGAAGCAGUCAGAUAUCCAAGGUGCAAAUUGUGACUCCAUGGAGCAGGGAACUCAAGAAUACAGAUCUUGCAGCAUCCAUAGCCCUCCCUACUACAGAGAAGUCAGAAGUAUUUAUCUCCCAAACCUUCAGAAAGAAGUGAAGCAAAGAAAAAUUGAGCUGCUUGUCCGAAGUCACACAGCAGUGAUGGAGCCAACAUCUGAACCCAGGCCUUGGAUUACCAGCUUUCCUGAGUCUCCAGUUUGCAAGCAGCAGAUCCUGGGACUUCUCAGCCUCCAUAAUCACAAGAACCAAUUCCUCACAAUAAAGCUCUUCCUGAUGGCUCUAUUUCUCUGGAGAACCCUGACAUUGGAUAAAGACAUAUAGCACUAGAAUCAAACAGAUCUGGCUUCAAGUCUCAGUUGUGCCACCCUUUCUGAUCUACUGCUUUAGGGUAAUAGAUAGGAGUAGGUUGGAACUGAAGAGUCAGAGAGAAGAGCCUGAGUAAGGAAGGUCAAAGAAGCAUCUUGUAGGCAUCUGAGUGUGCAGAAAUGGAAAGGGAAACUCAGGAAGAUUCUUGAGAAUGCACCAGGGAGAUUAUUACUGAUUAUGUCAGUACUACUUCAGGACAUAUUGUCCUGAGCAGACUUAACUUCUUCAGUGACCAGAGGAUGACAGAACCUCUUAGUUUGUAAGUUAAGAGACUCUAGAGAAAUCAACUUUGGCCUGGAACUGACGGAGAAAAGUUAAGUGAUUCCAAGAUUGGAAUUAUAAAUGAAAUCAUACAGCAAUAAGAGCUUGCAAAUAAGGUCUUGCAAGUAGAGUCAGCAACUUUUAUUUAAGCACAGGAGAAGUCAAAACACUGGAGAUGAGCAAAUGGAGUUCCAGUUUUUGAAUUCCCAACAAUAUUUUAAAAUCUGUUAUUUAUUGAGGUUAUAAUGUAUAUCACUAUAAUGCAUGGAUCUUAAGUGUACAAAUUUGACAAGUUUUGACAAAUGAAUAACCUGUGUUAUCAUCACCCAAUUCAAGAUACGGAGCAUUGCUAUCACCCCUGAAAGUUUGCUCAAGCUUCUUUCCAGUUACCUCCCCAACCCUAAGGAAACCACUCUGGAUUUCUUUCACCACAGAUAAGUUUCCCGUGCUAUUGAAUGUACUUAAUGUACAUUGUUUGUCCUCUUUUGCCUGUCAUCUGUUGGGAACACUUCUCGAAAAGUACUGAAUGAGACCAACCUCCAAAUGAGGACAGGGCCCGAAAGACAAGAAAAAGACUGACAACUCCAAAAUUAAACAAGAAGUUUAAGGGAAAUUACAGCAGAAGUAGACUCUGGGAUGAUAGGAAGACAGUAGAUUUCCUCACAGAAAGGGGAAGGAGGCGUGAUAUAUAGCCAAGUGGCACCUGCUAACACAGGUGGCUUGAAGCCUCAUGGCAGGGGCUCAUUAAGAGCUGCAUAAUUCAAAGCAGUAAACAACUUAAUGGGCCAACUUACCUAUGCAAAAACAUGUCAGGUGAUACUGGACCACCCCUCCUGGGGUGAACUUGCGGUCAGCUUGCUUUAUAAGAUGGUCAUGCUAAGUACCAGGAAUCACUUCGCCUAACAACAUCUUACAGUUAACGUGUUUUUGAGACUUACAUAUUAUAACGUUUUGAGAUGUAGUUGCAUGCUCGAUAGUUUGUUCCUUUUUGUUGAUGAAUAGUGUUCCUUUGUAUAAAUACACCAUAAUGUAUUUAUUCAUUCACCUGUUGGUGCACAUUUGGUAUGUUUCUAGAGCUAUUAGGUAAAAAACUGCUAUGAACACUCUUGUGCUGUAUGUAAAUUAUACUUUAAUAAAGGAAAAAAAUGACAAAUACCAAAAACAAAAGAAGUAUAUUAUUAACAUCUUCAGUCACUUAAAAGAGAAAAGAGAAUGGCUAAGGCAAAAACAAUAGUAAGCUGGUACAGAGUAAAUGUUUAGCACUCAUUGUUAGCCGCUGUUAAUGUGACCAAGAAAAUGCAAAUGUAUUCAAACUGAAUAUGUAUGACUGACUAGAAAGAAAGUGGAGAACGCAGUCAUUUUCCAAUAUGAAGCUGCCCUAAACUCCAGAAUCAGAGUUUGAAGCUUGAAUAAAUGAAGACUUGGAAGUGAAGUCACUAUCUAGGAAGACAUUUACAGACUUAUGUGUAUGAAUCAUGCUUUCAGCUGUGGCUGAUUCUGCAAUGCCAACCUCUACUGAGUCAGUGGACCUCAGCCUCGAGAAAUGUGUGCUGAAACCAAGCCCUCGGUAAGAAGACCCAUAUUUCUAUAGUUUUAUAAAGGAAUACAUGAAUCCCCAAAUAAAUUUAAGUUUCUAGAUAUGUGGUCAAUUUAGGGCAAUGUUGGGUCUAUUAGAGCUGUAUGGAAUAACCCACCAUCACUGAUAACUCUUCAUAAUAUGUGCUUCCUGUUUACUUCCUAUAGUCUCCAAUUAUAGAGCAAUCUUUUAAAUAUGAGUAUCCCUAUUACCCUGACAGAAAUUGAUCAAGGCUGUCAAUUAGACCUUUAACUGUGCACUUUUGUAGUUUAAAUUUUUUUCUAUUUUUGAUGACUGAUAAAAAUAAGCUAUAUAUCGUUUUUAAUAUUUCCCUAACUUUUUAUUUUGAAAAAUUUCAAAUCCACAAAAGUUGAAAUAGUAAUAUUAAAAUAUUAAUACUGCCUUCAAAAACAAAGCAGAGUGAUCAAUAGAGGUAAACAAAAAUCACUAAGAAGUCAUUUCCUUUUUUGACAAAAGAAUUUGAAAGACAAAUUUGCUCUUAUGGAUUGCAUCUGGGAGGAAUUGGCAACACUUCUAAUCCUUCAGACGGGAGGGGGACAUCUCUCCCUAAUUCCCAAAGAGGUGCCAAGUGUGCUUGCCCAAUGCCCUUGGACAAAGUUAAAAUACACACACACACACACACACACACACACACACACACGUGAAUCCAUAGUUGAUGGGAAGAUCAUAUCCUAAAGAGCUAUGUCGCUCUAAAAGGAAGGUUCCUGAGAGUGAGAACUUCAGCAGUGACCUGGCUACAGACAAAAUUUGCAAAAUGACACAAAACUAAGGGAUAAAAUUUCUCAUUAGAAAUAAUAAGCCUCUAAAUAUGAACAGGUUAAAUGAAUUAGCCUAGUUUAACAGAAUAAAAAUUAAUAUAGUGUUGGACACAAACUCCAAAAAGUGUAAGAUAGAGAAGCCUAACUCAGGAGCACGUGAAUACUUGAAAACUUAAGGGUUUGGUAAAUUAUAUCAUAUUAAGAGUAAAAAGGGUAAAUGUGCUGCCCCAAAAGCUAAUAUUCUCCCAGGAUCCAUUUAAAGAAAAAUACUAUUUAUAAUAAAGGCAGUAAGAAUCCCAUUAUAUUCUGUUAUUUGGAUUUUUUUUUUCCCCCAAGUUCUGGGCGCCAGACUUUAGGAAGAACAUUGGCGUAAUGAAUCUUGUCUAAUUAGCAUACAGAAUGGAUGAGGAACAUUGAAAGAAUUGAUAUAUUGAUCUGUCUGGGGUGGGGGGGUGAAGGGUAGAGUAUAAUGAUUAACUUCAAGUACUUAAACAGCUCUUUUGUGGCAGCUGGCUAAUUGCAUUCUGCAAGACCACAGGGGUCAAACUGUGGAGCAGGUGUGCUGCGAGCCUACUAUAUCCCUGGCCCUUUGCAAUAGCUGGAUUUUAUAAGGGGGUAGAUUUCUGAGUAAAUGUAACACAACUGGGAAGGAAGUGGGUAUUCCCUCACUUAAGGCGUCCAAGGAAAGUUUAUGUAUGAUUCUCAAACCUGUCUGCACCUUAGGGUCUAAUUUAAUUGGUUUGGGGUGAGCCUAGGCGUCAAGAUUUUUUCAAAGCUCCCAGCUAUUUAUAAUGGGCAGUCAGGUUUGACAAAUAUUAGGCCAGAUUGCUACUUGUCUGAAUGUAAAUUAAAUGAGAAAUUAAAAUUGAGAGGAAGAUAAAUAGGAAUAUUGAUUACAUAUUACAUACCAGGAAUUGUGCUUGGCCUUUUGCACUCUAAUCUUUAUUAACUAUGUUAAUACUUGGACUCUUUUAGCAGUGGCACAUAGUAAGCUCCCAAAGAUUUUUUAUCAUUGUUACCCUCUCUACAACCUUAUAAUACAUUCUCCAAAUACAAUCUGGGAGAAUGUUAGCUUUAUAAUACAGGUGUUAUAUCAUCUCUGCAUUAUGGACAAGGAAACUGAGGCUCAGAGAAGGUCUUUGUUUAGGCUAAUGCACUAGGAGGUUGAUUCCAAAACUGUGAUUUAAUCCUAAUUUAAAGGUAAUGUGUCUUCCCUGUCUCUUCGGGCCACUAAGAAGACAUUUAGGUAUUUAUAAAAAUUAUUAAUAGCUUACUUAAGUGACCCUUUUCAUUUUUAAUAGGACCAUUUCUUUCUGGCCUGUUCUCAAGGAAAUUACAUUCAAUACAAAUCCUGAAAAAAUGAAUCUAAAAAGCAGACAUUUGGUUUUCCUAAUGUGGCCUGAUGGAAACUUCCGUAGGUCUUGAGAACCUCUAAGGUCAAAGGUAAUGGAUCAAUGUAGCCCUUUGGAGCUGAAACAAAGCACUUCAAUCAAACAUGGGAAGUACUGCUCACAAGUGAAACACUUCCCAUACUAAUGGAUAAAGAUUAUAUGUUACUUCUAUACAGUCUAGGACUUCAAUUAUAUAUUAACAUUGAAGAAGUUGGCCCUGAAGGAAAUGUCCUGAUCAUCUCUGACACCUCCUCUUGACCACAUAAAUCCCGUUUUCUUGUGUGUGUAACUGGUUUAGGUAUGUGAGUAUGCUAGAGAAGAAGAAACAUCAAGGAAUGGAUACUCCCUCGAUGAGACACUGAGUUCUUUGAGGGCAAGGAAAAUCUUUACUAUCUCAUAUAAUCCUUAAUAUAGUAUCCAAUACAAAAUAAGUAAUAAAUGCUGCAAGGUGCAAUUGCUACACUAAUUUUCAAAAAAAAAUAUGCUUCAAAUGGUGGGUAUUGAAUUGACUUAAUGGCAGUGAUAGAUUCAGAUUUUUGUUUUCUGUCACUGGCCAAUUGCUAAAAUUUGUAGCCUAUGUAACAUAUACUAAAUAGUACAUCAGCAUAAUUUUAAUACAGUGUUUUCCUAUACAUUUUUGGCACCUUCUGUAUUUAAUGACUGAAAUUAUUGUCUUAGCUUUAUGUAUUCCUGUAAACCAAAAAGUACACAUUUUAUUCUCGAAAGAUAUGAAACUAGAGGUCCUAAAUGUCGCUAGAGACUUAUUAAUCAAUAUAACUAUCAGUGCCAAUUUGGCACCCAGAUCUACCUUGUUUAUAUCCAGAAGCAUAGUUUUACACAGUACAUUUUAGAAAGUACUGAGUAUAUCUUAGGUAGUCGAGAAGAAAUUGAUUAAAGACAUUUCAUUUUACCCUUUUUACCCACUGGCUUCUGGCUGUACUUUACCCAUUGUGAAUUUUGGCUAGAUACCCUUGUCAUAAAGUCACAAAAAAUUUCAUGGGGAGAAAGUAAUAGCAUGUUUAAAUUUUACAGAUAUUUUUAUAUGCUUUGAGAUAUUCAUCAAGAAGUCUAGAACCAUGCUGUCCUAUGUAAUUUUAAAUUUACUAGUAGCCACAUUAAAAAAAUGGAUAAAUAGGGAAAAUUAAUUCUAGUAAUAUAUUUCAUUUAACCCAAUAUAUCAAAAAUAUUAUUUCAAUAUGCAAUCCAUAUAAAAAUUGAGGUAUUUUACAUCCUUCUUUCCAUACGAAGUCUUUGAAAUCUAGUGUGUAUUUUAUAUACUUACAGCAGAUCUCAAUUUGCACUGGUCACAUUUCAAGUGCUCAAUAGCCACUGGUGUAAGUCAGUGUAAUAGUCCAGUGUAAUAGUCACUACCUUAAGAUGUACAAAAACAAAUCACUUAAAAGUUGAUCCAAAGUUAAUGCUCUGUUAACAUGGCAAGUAAAAGAUGAAAUGUUAUAUAGUGUUUGGACUUUUUCUAAUUACUUAAACAAGAAAUUUGUUUUUAUUUAAGAAAGAUUGCAAAUUUUUUGCAAAGUUUUUACAAAUUGUUUAAAUUUAAAAAAACUUUUUUUUUGCAAUUUUACAAAUGCCUUGAAAACCGUUUUCUUCUUUUCAUUACCUCAUCAAAAGUCUUUCUGGGUACUGUGUUAUUUUGUUUUUUCUCCAUUUGAAUUGUUCAUUUUGUCAUUCACUAAAUAUUUAUCUGGUGACAACUAUGUGCAAAACAUUAAGCUAGAUGUAGUAAAGAAUGUAAAAAUAUCCCCCAUCUUCUGCUUUCACAAAACUUCGUUUGAAACUAGAGUGAAAAACAUAAGAAAGUAUAUCUUUGUAUUUUAUUUUACUGUGUCACUCUGUGUCAAUUAUUUGUUUGCCUAUCAGUUUUUCCCCAGUUCUUUAACAAUAAAUGUAAUGAACUUUAUCUUCUUAUACUUUUAUCUUCCUGGGGCCUGGCAGAAUACCUUCAUAUUCAUGAAAUUCACUGUAAUAAAUUACUAUGUGUUAUUUUCUAGAACAGAGGUUCACCAAGUACAGAAAACUUUACAAAGUACACCAAGUACAUAAUUUUUUUUUUUAUCUUCCCUAAGGGGAAGAGAAAAACAAUAAAGCAGAAAAGAUAUUUAUGACAGGGCUUGAAGGAUUUGACACAGAGAUGGUGGUGAGGCUUGAAGAACAGAACAAGUUUUUAAAGCUGAGAAAGUAUAGGAUACAAGAAUACAUCACUUAUGACAGGAACUCUCUGAAUGUGAGCUUAUUAAGUGCACAAGUGACUAAAAAGAGCCUGAAUGACCUGAGGAUAUCUACACACAUAGAAAUGGAAGCUUUAAGGAAGUGAAAGGGGUGGUGAUGCUGAACAAACUAUGUGGAAAAAAGUGACAUUAUGAGUUUAUGAGUGAGCUAUUGCAGUUGUUGAUAUUUUAAAGCAAAAAAAAAAAAAAA